GUGGUAAUGUCGGAGGAAAUACUAAAGAAAUACCCUGAACUCGCCAUCGAAGGCCUCCCUACUGUAAAGCAGCGAUUGGAUAUCUGUAAUAAUGCUGUGACACAGAUGGCUAUUGAAGCUUCACAAAUUUGCAUCAAGAACUGGGGCAGGCCUAUGUCAGAAAUAACUCACUUAGUCUACGUCUCCUCAAGUGAAGCUAGGCUACCGGGUGGCGAUCUCUACCUUGCAAGAGGUCUUGGACUCAAC
rnacentral:misc_RNA from 1 species